rnacentral:ncRNA from 1 species
UGGGCGGGAGAGAGCAGAAAUAGCCGCCGAAGAUGUAAGUAAUUGGGAUUAGUCACCUUGUUAUGAAACUUUCAGGCAAAAGGACCGGCAGUG